rnacentral:rRNA from 1 species
GCAAGUCGAACGAAGAUGCCGGAGUGCUUGCACUUUGGCAGACUGAGUGGCGGACGGGUGAGUAACGCGUGGGUAACCUGCCUUAUACAGGGGGGAUAACAGUUUGGAAACGACUGCUAAUACCGCAUAAGCGCACGGUAUCGCAUGAUACAGUGUGAAAAACUCCGGUGGUAUAAGAUGGACCCGCGUCUGAUUAGCUUGUUGGUGAGGUAACGGCCCACCAAGGCGACGAUCAGUAGCCGGCCUGAGAGGGUGAACGGCCUCAUUGGGACUGAGACACGGCCCAAACUCCUACGGGAGGCAGCAGUGGGGAAUAUUGCACAAUGGGGGAAACCCUGAUGCAGCGACGCCGCGUGAGUGAUGAAGUAUUUCGGUAUGUAAAACUCUAUCAGCAGGGAAGAUAAUGACGGUACCUGACUAAGAAGCACCGGCUAAAUACGUG